rnacentral:rRNA from 1 species
UGCAUGUCUAAGUAUAAGCAAUUAUACAGCGAAACUGCGAAUGGCUCAUUAUAUAAGUUAUCGUUUAUUUGAUAGUACCUUACUACUUGGAUAACCGUGGUAAUUCUAGAGCUAAUACAUGCUAAAAACCCCGACUUCGGAAGGGGUGUAUUUAUUAGAUUAAAAACCAAUGCCCUUCGGNUCCUUGGUGAUUCAUGAUAACUUCUCGAAUCGCAUGGCCUUGCGCGGCGAUGGUUCAUUCAAAUUUCUUCCCUAUCAACUUUCGAUGUUUGGGUAUUGGCCAAACAUGGUUGCAACGGGUAACGGAGGGUUAGGGCUCGACCCCGGAGAAGGAGCCUGAGAAACGGCUACUACAUCCAAGGAAGGCAGCAGGCGGCGCAAAUUACCCAAUCCCGACACGGGGAGGUAGUGACAAUAAAUACUGAUACAGGGCUCUUUUGGGUCUUGUAAUUGGAAUGAGUACAAUCUAAAUCCCUUAACNNNNNUAUAUUAAAGUUGUUGUGGUUAAAAAGCUCGUAGUUGAACCUUGGGCCUGGCUGGCGGUCCGCCUCACCGCGUGCACUGGUCCGGCCGGGCCUUUCCCUCUGUGGAACCCCAUGCCCUUCACUGGGCGUGGCGGGGAAACAGGACUUUUACUUUGAAAAAAUUAGAGUGCUCCAGGCAGGCCUAUGCUCGAAUACAUUAGCAUGGAAUAAUGAAAUAGGACGUGCGGUUCUAUUUUGUUGGUUUCUAGGACCGCCGUAAUGAUUAAUAGGGACAGUCGGGGGCAUCAGUAUUUCAAUUGUCAGAGGUGAAAUUCUUGGAUUUAUUGAAGACUAACUACUGCGAAAGCAUUUGCCAAGGAUGUUUUCAUUAAUCAGGAACGAAAGUUAGGGGAUCGAAGACGAUCAGAUACCGUCGUAGUCUUAACCAUAAACUAUGCCGACUAGGGAUCGGACGAUGUUACUUAUUGACUCGUUCGGCACCUUACGAGAAAUCAAAGUGCUUGGGCUCCAGGGGGAGUAUGGUCGCAAGGCUGAAACUUAAAGAAAUUGACGGAAGGGCACACCAGGGGUGGCANGCGGCUUAAUUUGACUCAACACGGGGAAACUCACCAGGUCCAGACACAAUAAGGAUUGACAGAUUGAGAGCUCUUUCUUGAUUUUGUGGGUGGUGGUGCAUGGCCGUUCUUAGUUGGUGGAGUGAUUUGUCUGCUUAAUUGCGAUAACGAACGAGACCUUAACCUGCUAACUAGCCCGUAUUGCUUUGCAGUACGCCGGCUUCUUAGAGGGA